UACGUAGGGUGCAAGCGUUGUCCGGAAUUAUUGGGCGUAAAGAGCUCGUAGGCGGUUUGUCGAGUCGGGCGUGAAAACGCCGGGCUUAACUCGGUGCUUGCUUUCGAUACGGGCAGACUAGAGGCAUGCAGGGGAGAACGGAAUUCCUGGUGUAGCGGUGAAAUGCGCAGAUAUCAGGAGGAACACCGGUGGCGAAGGCGGUUCUCUGGGCAUGUCCUGACGCUGAGGAGCGAAAGUGUGGGGAGCGAACAGG
rnacentral:rRNA from 1 species